UUACCUACGGGGGGCAGCAGUGAGGAAUAUUGGUCAAUGGGCUUACGCCUGAACCAGCCAAGUCGCGUGAGGGAAGACUGCCCUAUGGGUUGUAAACCUCUUUUGUCAGGGAGCAACGCCGGCUACGUGUAGCCGGACCGAGAGUACCUGAAGAAAAAGCAUCGGCUAACUCCGUGCCAGCAGCCGCGGUAAUACGUAGGUGGCAAGCGUUAUCCGGAUUUACUGGGUGUAAAGGGCGUGUAGGCGGGACUGCAAGUCAGAUGUGAAAACCACGGGCUCAACCUGUGGCCUGCAUUUGAAACUGU
rnacentral:rRNA from 1 species